UACGUAGGGGGCAAGCGUUGUCCGGAUUUAUUGGGCGUAAAGGGCGCGCAGGCGGUCUUUUAAGUCAGUUGUGAAAGGUCUCGGCUCAACCGAGGAGUUGCAGCUGAAACUGGAAGGCUUGAGUGCAGGAGAGGAGAGCGGAAUUCUCGGUGUAGCGGUGGAAUGCGUAGAGAUCGGGAGGAACACCAGUGGCGAAGGCGGCUCUCUGGCCUGUAACUGACGCUGAGGCGCGAAAGCGUGGGGAGCAAACAGG
rnacentral:rRNA from 1 species